rnacentral:lncRNA from 1 species
UUUCUUUCUCUUUGCAGGCUUCAUUUUCUUGGGCUUCCCUACCUGGCCAGACUCACGAUCCAGAAGGACAGUCUCAGUUCAGCCAGUUCCUGCCAAGGAAUCCUGGGGAAGGCUGGUGACUGAUCCAGCUGUCAUAUGAUUGCUCUGUGUGGUGACAUGGACUCAUCCCAGGACAAGCAGACUCGUCAGAGCAAGAACACAGUCUGGAAGCAUGGUCCUGAUGCUGGAAUAGAGAGGAUUUCUGAUAACCUGGAAUAUUUGCAAGAGCUCAGCAACACUCCAAGAAUUAUUCUAGGCUUCCCUUACUGAUAAUGAACUAAUCCCAUCAAUUAAUAUAAAUGGACUAAUGGAAGUUCCUUUGACUUCUCUUCCCAGGAUUCUUACUUUCCACUUAAAAAAAAAAAAAGGUAAGUAAACUUUUUUCUUUUUCUUUUUUUUUAUAUUUUAUUUAUUUAUUUAUGAGAGACACAGAGA